AUUGAACGCUGGCGGCAGGCCUAACACAUGCCAGUCGAGCGGAGCGGCGGACGGGUGAGUAAUGCCUAUGAAUCUGCCUGGUAGUGGGGGAUAACGUCCGGAAACGGGCGCUAAUACCGCAUACUAUCAGACGAGCCUAGGUCGGAUUAGCUAGUUGGUGGGGUAAGGGCCUACAAAGGCGACGAUCCCUAACUGGUCUGAGCGGAGGAUCAGUCACACUGGAACUGAGACACGGUCCCGACUCCUACGUGAGGCAGCAGUGGGGAAUAUUGGACAAUGGGCGAGAGCCUGAUCCAGCGAAGCCGAGUGUGUGAAGAAGGUCUUCGGAUUGUAAAGCACUUUAAGUUGGGAGGCGUUACCUACAGAAUAAGCACCGGCUAACUUCGUGCCAGCAGCCGCGGUAAUAC
rnacentral:rRNA from 1 species